GACGAACGCUGGCGGCGUGCUUAACACAUGCAAGUCGAACGGAAAGGCCCUGCUUUUGUGGGGUGCUCGAGUGGCGAACGGGUGAGUAACACGUGAGUAACCUGCCCUUGACUUUGGGAUAACUUCAGGAAACUGGGGCUAAUACCGGAUAGGAGCUCCUGCUGCAUGGUGGGGGUUGGAAAGUUUCGGCGGUUGGGGAUGGACUCGCGGCUUAUCAGCUUGUUGGUGGGGUAGUGGCUUACCAAGGCUUUGACGGGUAGCCGGCCUGAGAGGGUGACCGGCCACAUUGGGACUGAGAUACGGCACAGAAUCCUACGGGAGGCAGCAGUGGGGAAUAUUGCACAAUGGGCGGAAGCCUGAUGCAGCAACGCCGCGUGCGGGAUGACGGCCUUCGGGUUGUAAACCGCUUUCGCCUGUGACGAAGCGUGAGUGACGGUAAUGGGUAAAGAAGCACCGGCUAACUACGUG
rnacentral:rRNA from 1 species